GUUAGAGGUUGCAUAGUUCUAGAA
rnacentral:siRNA from 1 species